UUUUUGGAGAGUUUGAUCCUGGCUCAGGACGAACGCUGGCGGCGUGCCUAAUACAUGCAAGUCGAGCGCAGGAAGCGGGCAGAUCCCUUCGGGGUGAUGCCUGCCGAA
rnacentral:rRNA from 1 species